rnacentral:rRNA from 1 species
UACCACGGUGAAUACGUUCCCGGGUCUUGUACACACCGCCCGUCAAGUCACGAAAGUGAGGGGUACCCGAAGUACCAACAAUGUCGGUCCUAAGGUAAACCUCGCGAUUGGGACU